rnacentral:rRNA from 1 species
GUUACCAACUUUCGUGACUUGACGGGCGGUGUGUACAAGGCCCGGGAACGUAUUCACCGCAGCGUUGCUGAUCUGCGAUUACUAGCGACUCCGACUUCAUGGGGUCGAGUUGCAGACCCCAAUCCGAACUGAGACCGGCUUUUAGGGAUUAGCUCCACCUCACAGUAUCGCAACCCAUUGUACCGGCCAUUGUAGCAUGCGUGAAGCCCAAGACAUAAGGGGCAUGAUGAUUUGACGUCAUCCCCACCUUCCUCCGAGUUGACCCCGGCAGUCUCCCAUGAGUCCCCACCACUACGUGCUGGCAACAUGGAACGAGGGUUGCGCUCGUUGCGGGACUUAACCCAACAUCUCACGACACGAGCUGACGACAACCAUGCACCACCUGUGAACCAGCCCCGAAGGGAAAGACCAUCUCUGAUCCGGUCUGGCACAUGUCAAGCCUUGGUAAGGUUCUUCGCGUUGCAUCGAAUUAAUCCGCAUGCUCCGCCGCUUGUGCGGGCCCCCGUCAAUUCCUUUGAGUUUUAGCCUUGCGGCCGUACUCCCCAGGCGGGGCACUUAAUGCGUUAGCUACGGCGCGGAAAACGUGGAAUGUCCCCCACACCUAGUGCCCAACGUUUACGGCAUGGACUACCAGGGUAUCUAAUCCUGUUCGCUCCCCAUGCUUUCGCUCCUCAGCGUCAGUAAAUGCCCAGAGACCUGCCUUCGCCAUCGGUGUUCCUCCUGAUAUCUGCGCAUUUCACCGCUACACCAGGAAUUCCAGUCUCCCCUACAUCACUCUAGUCUGCCCGUACCCACCGCAGAUCCGAGGUUGAGCCUCGGACUUUCACGGCAGACGCGACAAACCGCCUACGAGCUCUUUACGCCCAAUAAAUCCGGAUAACGCUUGCGCCCUACGUAUUACCGCGGCUGCUGGCACGUAGUUAGCCGGCGCUUCUUCUGCAGGUACCGUCACUCUCGCUUCUUCCCUACUGAAAGAGGUUUACAACCCGAAGGCCGUCAUCCCU